rnacentral:rRNA from 1 species
AGCGAACGUUUGCGGCGGGCUUAACACAUGCAAGUCGAACGGGCUGUUCCUUCGGGGGCAGUCAGUGGCGCACGGGUGCGUAACACGUAGGUAAUCAACCCUCUGGUUGGGGAUAACACUUCGAAAGGAGUGCUAAUACCCGGUAUGGCGCAGCGGUCUUCGGAUCGCGGCGAGAAAGACCCGCAAGGGUUGCCAGAGGACGAGCCUGCGGCCCAUCAGCUAGUUGGCGAGGUAACGGCUCACCAAGGCGAAGACGGGUAGCUGGUCUGAGAGGAUGAUCAGCCGCACUGGAACUGAGACACGGUCCAGACUCCUACGGGAGGCAGCAGUGGGGAAUAUUGCGCAAUGGGCGAAAGCCUGACGCAGCCACGCCGCGUGAGCGAUGAAGGCCUCGGUCGUAA